CACAAGCAACCACAGGACUGCUCUUAAUUGAUGUUUCCUGACCAGCAGCUGCAGAUCACUCAUUUUGGUGCUAUGUCAGCCUUCAUUCAUUGGAAUAUUAGUUUGCUUGUUUGUCUUAUUUAGGUUUGAUUUGAUUUCCCGAUACAGGGCGUUGGAGGGGGCUUAAGCAGCAGAAAUGGCCUGUGAGACGGCAGUUGCGUGGCGGUAGUCUGGUGGUUUCCUGAGACUGACUGAAACUAGACAGUGUUGUGAACUGUGAAGGUGUAAACAGUAUUGGAUUUGGGCGUGCACUUUCAGAGUUAAAAUGUAUAUCCAGCUGGACAUUGUAGAAAGUGUUGUGAAAUACCCACGUGCAGGAAAUUGUAGUAACGUUAUUCAGCAAAAAAAAGAUGUUCACUUGUUCACGUUGUUGAACGACAUCGAGAACAGAAGCGCAGUGAAAGCCAACGUUGACCAAGGACAACCAAGGACAAGGGGGUCAGACUCCCUCCUUAGGACAACCAAGUCCUGCCUCAUAUGUUGUGUUCCUCUGGUCAUACAACUGAAAAGAUGAAAAUUGAGAUGCUGAAGAUCAAGAUGGAGGCUUUAUAAGAAGAGUGGGACUUCCUCCACAAAACGUUUAACCAGUUGUAUGUCAGUAGUCUGUCUCCAUAUAUCGCUGAAAGCAAGAACACUCGUUAUUCUGCAUACUUAAUACUGUAUGUGUAUUCCUCUUCCACCCACUUCCUGCGCUCCUUAUCUACUUUAAAAACCGAUUAAACUAU